UACGAAGGGUGCUAGCGUUGUUCGGAUUUACUGGGCGUAAAGCGUGCGUAGGUGGCUUUACAGGUCAGGGGUGAAAUCCUGGGGCUCAACCCCAGAAUUGCCUUUGAAACUGUAGAGCUAGAGUAUCGGAGGGGAUAGCGGAAUUGCUAAUGUAGAGGUGAAAUUCGUAGAUAUUAGCAGGAACACCGGUGGCGAAGGCGGCUAUCUGGACGAUUACUGACACUCUGGCACGAAAGCGUGGGGAUCAAACAGG
rnacentral:rRNA from 1 species